rnacentral:lncRNA from 1 species
UGGCCCUGGAUUGCACAGUCGGAACCUCACUUAACCCUCCCUCUGGAUUCAGAUCAGCACACACCAGAGACUCGGCUGGCUCCGAAAGGUUCCAGACAGAGGGGCUAAACACAUUAGCCGACAGACUCGCAAGACACAAAAGGCGGCAGGAAUCAAAUAAAAGGAAAACGCAGCAGUCACAGGCGGAGAGACUGGGAGGGAAAAGAAUAAAGCAAACUAGAAGAAAAGA